AUGAAGUUCCUUCAUGACGUCCUUGGUAUAAUCAUCAGAGCAUUUGAUAAAGGUCAGAUGUCUACAUGUAAUCCAGCUAUCCAGGAACUAACACCAGGAACAGUAAAGAAAAGGUUAAGGAUAUACCUCGCAGCUCGCAAUAAGUCAACCCUAGAAACAGGCGAAGGGCUUAUAACGGAGGUUGUUGAAGGCCUGGACCUUGACAUAGAGCCAUUCCACGUGACAUCAAGGGGUCACGAAGAUCUUCUGAGAAAACAGCUAAUCGCCAACUGGCCCUGCAAAGUCCUGUGCUUUGUCGACAACAGUGCAAGAAACAUCAUCUUACACGACACUGAACCCGACGAAGCAAGCCAAAUCGUUCGCCCGGCUGAGGACAAUUGUGGAAAAGAUGGGAUGCUUCUUUUACUCUGUGGACAUCGCGGCAUCACAGACGGUGACCUUUACGACAAGGAGCACUUUAGCACAACUUUCCUGAGCUGUCAAGCUAAGCUAAGAGAGAUAGCAGCGAGUGGUCGAUUUUUAAGUAUGGACAGUAGUUUGAACGAAAGCCAAAAGAAAGCAGUGUUAGAGUGGGUCCAAAGACCGCCAGAUGAUUCAAUGAGGCAACCCUUAGAUGAAGGCACGGACACCCAAUGUUCAGCAAAUCAGGAAAGCACUCAAACUGUUGCACAGAAACAAGGCACUGGCACUGGCCUGUGGGCAAAUCUUUAUAGGAAAAUAUCGAAAACGUGACUUUAAAGGGCAACUAUUUUAUCAUGGCACCUAAAUUUACUUGACUUAAGAUGCCCCUCUUAGCUUAUAAUUAGCAUAAGAACUAAAAGUAUAAUCUAAGAAUGCCUAUUCAUGAAGUUAAACAUCUCAAUAAUCUCGAAUUACAGUAUAGUAUAUUAGCUCUCGUCACGUGUGACAAAGUACUUCAAACAUGUUUUUCCUUCUUACUGUACAACGUGAAAAGGUUUUCCUAUUUCAUUAUUACUGAUGAACUGUUACGUGAGAUUAACUUAAUUAAUUUCCUUCAACUUUUAGAUAUUUGACCAACAUGAUUUAUGGGGAUGGUGACGUAGCCGAAGUUUGACUUGCUGAAUCACUUACACUUAGUCAGUCAAUGUUUUAAAUAUGUGGACAUGAUGUGUGAAACAGAUGCAACUAUUAUAAACUAGAAUCAAUGAAAUGGUCAUACAUAUUUAAAAAACUCGACACAUAGUCAAGAUAAAUAUCAUCGAUAGUUUAUUUGCCUUGUCUCUCGUGGACAAUAAAACAAGGGAUAGUGAGAAAUUUACCAUUUAUGUCUGAUAGCUGUAUAUGCAUAUGGCACAC